GUCUACGGCCAUACCACCCUGAACACACCCAAUCCUGUCUGAUCUCAGAAGCUAAGCAGGGUCGGACCUGGUUAGUACUUGGAUGGGAGACCACCCAGGAAGACCAGGUGCUACAGGCG
rnacentral:rRNA from 1 species